CAGCAGCAGCUACAACCCAACCCCCAACCCAACUCAACCCAGCAGCAGCAGCUACAACACAAGCCCCAACCCGACUCAACCGAACUCUACGCACCCCAACAUCAGCUACAAUACAAUCCACAACUACCGCAACAGCAGGAAAUACUACAACCCAUCCAGAAUCUACAAGGACAUCCAAACUGUUCCAACCAAGGAUACAUGGGGAACUCGAACUCCCUUGACAUUCAAGGACAAGGACAAGACAACUGUGAAAACCCACAAUACGUGCAAGAGAACCCCGUAAACAAUGAUACAAGUACGGGGGCCAUACAGAAGACGAAUGGCACUCCCGCGGGAGCCACCUCGGGAUCUAAGCAAGAUCAACAAACAUCAGCCUCCGAACCCGCAACCCGAGGCAGAAACCGCGCAACCAAGACGGAUCGCCGCACUAGGAGGACCAAGACAAAGAGUACCAGUCCGAACCGGUCCGACGACGAAUGCUCAGACGAAGAGGGCACCGACCUGAUGGCACCCCUGAUGACGGACGCAUGGGACAGGAAAAUAUUUUCCUGUUGGGGACACCGAGAAAGGCACGUCCUGGCCCGCCGCUUGCCUUCGAUCACGGCGGGAGCUCCGGCCUGGAUCAGGACGUUCGAGGAGGAGACAUCAGGUGAUGUCCUGGCCAUAGGAGAUGUAAGGGCCAUCAUCAGAAAAGCCCAUGGUUCCGACAAAACAAUAGAACUGGAAAGAAUGACCCAUACUACUCAUGUGCCAGACAAAGCACCCUUCGACAGAUACCGAAAUGCCUUCUGGGAUAACCUCAAACGACAAUACCCACCAGACCUCAGUGCAGUGGGAAUCCAAGGCCUGGCCAUCAAACCAGAAGAAACCAUCCAUGAUUACGUAAGGAGAGCCGAAAUCCUAUGGGCAGACAAAAAUGACUGCAGCGCGUACGAAAGCAGCCUGGCAAACAACACCUUCCGAAAGGCGGUCUUGGGUGGGCUACCGCCCGAGGCCCAGAAUGGACUGGAGACGGUGGUUGGACUGUGCGUCAAACCAAAGGCAGAGUGGAUGGAACACCUCAUUCACCACCUCAAUCUAAGCAAAAAGAAGCAAGCAAAGAAAGACCACGACGGAGGUAUUGAGGAAAUAUUUAAACAGAUGUGCAGGGUGAACAUAGAAAAGGACGUGGAGGUGACCCGGCAGCUCAAAAGAGCCGAAGAAGACCAGGAUUACGAGGCCAUGAUGUCCCUAAUGUCCGAAGCAGUCCCUCAGGUGACCCCACUUCCAGAGUGGCUACGACAGGGCAACGAACCCACCGCAUACGCUGCUUACGUGGCCGACGCCAUGCAACAAUCAGGUCAACAAAGACAGAACCAACCAUACAGAGGAGGAGGCACAGUCCGACAAAUGCUAGCAUUCCUAGGACUGACAGGAUAUAGCCGGACCUACAUCCCUGAUUACACCGGCGAAACAACUACACUGCGACAACUCAUCACCAAAGCAGGACACAGAAAUCUAAAAGCCCCCUUGGAAUGGACCCCUGAAGCAGAAGAAGCAUUCAACAGGCUAAAACAAAGCAUGUAUAGUGCCGCGGCCCUGGCCGCCCCGGACUACAAAGAACCCUUUCACCUGGAUGUGUCAGUAAAAGACUGUGUGUUCAACGGAAUCCUAUGGCAGAAACAACGAGGACAACGGAAUGUCCUAGCCUACCACAGCUCUGCCCCGGAACCACCAGAAAAAGGACUCCCGAGUGUGGAAAAGCUAUAUGCGCCAUCGCCAAAAGCCUGGACAAGACGUCCUACACAGUAAUGACUAGGGUUGGGCACCGAGAACCGGUUCCAAAAGGAACCGGUUCCUAACGUCCGGUUCUGGAACUGUUAAGACGAUGUUUGAAUUUCGAUUAUUUUUAUCGGUUCCUAAAUGCGCGCGCAUGUUUCCGGGGCGGGGUUUGUAUUACUCCGCCGCGUGCUCCGCUAAACAUCAGUUGUCUGAAGUUCGAACAUGGACCGCAAACGCCGCUCAAAAGUCUGGCUUCAUUUUAAUUUAAAAAAGGACGGCUUCGCACAGUGCAACACCUGCAAUAAACUUAUUACUGCCAAAGGAGGGUGCACAACAAACAUGAUAAAACACCUUCGCCUGCUGCAUGGUAUAACAAUUAACGAGUGUAGUGUGUUUGACGCGUUGCGUCGGUCUCGUGCUCCCGUCGCUUCCUCCACUUUGGACAGUCAACCAUCAGCUAGUAACUCCUCAUUGGAAACGGAAUCAGUUGUUGAACGCUCGCAGAGUGAUGCUAACGUUAACGUUAGCCAGUCUGAGCCUGCUGCUGCUGCUGCGGCUGCUGCUGCUACGUUAACCGGCCCGAGACCCCAGCCAGCAAAGAUACAACAAACUCCUUUCAGCAUGGCAGCAAGGGGAAAGCUGUCAGCGGAGCAAAUUGCUGAGUGCCACAGAAAAGUAACGGCGUAUGUGGUAAAAGGGCUGCAUCCCUUUAGCGACGUCGAGUCGCCCACAUUUAGGGAUAUGAUCCAUUCAAUAAACCCGAAGUACACCCCCCCUACAAGGGAGUGUUUAACUAAUAGAUUGAUCCCGGCAUGGUACAAGAUAGAAAAAUCUAAUCUGAUCUCAGAGCUGAGUGAGGUCAGUCACAUAGCUCUCACUUGUGAUGGCUGGACUAGCCUAACCCAAGAACACUACCUAACUGUCACAGUGCACUAUUUAGUGGAAAGCAACAUGAGGCAGAAAGUUCUCGCAACAAAAGCUGUGUACAGAGCCCAGACAGGAAUUGUCGUGGCAGAGGAAAUCGGCGACAUCCUGAAAGAAUUUGGCGUGUUUGAUAAAGUAGUAGCCGUUACUGUGGAUAAUGCGGCCAAUAUGGACGUAGCCAUCAAACGGCUGCAGUUUGUGAAGCUCGGCUGCUUCGCUCAUUCACUAAACCUAGCAGCACAAAGUCUGUACUCCAGCAGCUCAGUGGCUCAGUGGACUGCAAAGAUUCGUGCCAUCAUCGUCUGGAUGAAGAGGUCGUCCAUGGCGAAGGUGGUUCUACGGGAAAAGCAGGAUGUCCUAAACCUCCCUCAACAUUCACUGAUUCUCGAUGUGAGAACAAGGUGGAAUUCUCUCUACCUAAUGAUGGAGAGAUUCCUUGAACAAUACCCUGCAAUACAAGCAGCCAGCUUGGACCAACGCCUGAGAAAGAAUAUGGAGAGGGACAGGCUUGAUCGGCUGACAGAUGGUGAUUUCACCAAGGCAGAAGACUUCAUCAGGCUGAUGCAGGUUCUGUACACCUGCACGCUCUGUGUUUCCACUGAAAAAAGCCCAACAGCCGGACAGAUCCUGCCGAUCAUCCAAAAGCUGGAGAAACACUUCGCUGCUGUAAAUGGAGACACAGCAUUUGUAGCUGACUUGAAGAAAAGGGUCUGGGGAAACAUUUCUACCCGGUACAAGUUUUGUUUUUAUUGUUUUAAAGAAUGAGGACAUCAGGUUCUUCUUGGAAGAAGCCACUGCCUUAGAUCCCCGCUUCAAGAAUAAGAUGGACAACAACACAGCAGUCUGGGAACGGAUCAAGGGGAAGUUGCUGGCAAACUCUGAAGAGUCGGUGGCAGUCAAUCAUGACCAUUCAGAAGAGGUUGGUGUGAUGCAGGGCGAGGGAAACCAGGAAGGUGUGAAGACUGAGAGCGAGGAGGAAGAGGAGAAUCAGCCUCCUCCUUCCAAACAAUCGAAAAAGUCUCCACUGGAGGAGCUUUUUGCUGAGGAGGAUGCCAUGAAGAGGACCUCACAAGAGGGGUUGAUGUCCAUGGAAAGUCGUGCUGAAAGGGAGAUCCAGACGUACCUGGAAACGCCACCAAUCAUCACAUCGUCUGACCCUGCAGCCUGGUUCUGGACCCAGACACAAACUUAUCCUUUACUGUCAUGUCUGGCCUUCUCAUAUUUAUGUGUCCAGGCCUCCUCAACACCUAGUGAACGGGUGAUUUCUACUGCAGGAAACACAAUCUGUGCGGAACGGUCGCGCUUACUGCCUGAGAAGGCAGACAUGAUAAUCUUCCUAAACAAGAACUGUUGUUAAUGAUUUGUCACAACUGCGCCAGGGUUUGAGUUUGUUUUAUUUUGUUACAUAUACAUCCACCUGGGCUGCAGCUCUUUGCUUUUUAGACUGCUGCCAACUUGUGUCACUUCAGCAGAAUUCAGUUAUAGUUACAGUUAGGGACCCUCGGCAAUGUGAAUAAAUAUAAUGGCCUGUGUAAAGGCU